GGGCGUGUGGCGUAGUCGGUAGCGCGCUCCCUUGGCAUGGGAGAGGUCUCCGGUUCGAUUCCGGACUCGUCCA
rnacentral:tRNA from 1 species